UACAAGUGGCCAAGAAUCUCUUCACGCACUUGGAUGAUGUCUCAGUGCUGUUACAGGAAAUUAUAGUGGAGGCCAGGAACCUCAGCGAUGCCGAGAUUUGUUCUGUGUUCCUGCUGGAUCGAGUGAGCCACGAGUUGGUGGCAAAGGUGUUUGACGGCGGCGUGGUUAGUGAGG